rnacentral:rRNA from 1 species
AGUGAACGCUGGCGGUAGGCCUAACACAUGCAAGUCGAACGGCAGCACAGGAGAGCUUGCUCUCUGGGUGGCGAGUGGCGGACGGGUGAGGAAUACAUCGGAAUCUACUUUUUCGUGGGGGAUAACGUAGGGAAACUUACGCUAAUACCGCAUACGACCUACGGGUGAAAGCAGGGGAUCUUCGGACCUUGCGCGAUUGAAUGAGCCGAUGUCGGAUUAGCUAGUUGGCGGGGUAAAGGCCCACCAAGGCGACGAUCCGUAGCUGGUCUGAAAGGAUAAUCAGCCACACUGGAACUGAGACACGGUCCAGACUCCUACGAGAGGCAGCAGUGGGGAAGAUUGGACAAUGGGCGCAAGCCUGAUCCAGCCAUACCGCGUGGGUGAAGAAGGCCUUCGGGUUGUAAAGCCCUUUUGUUGGGAAAGAAAUCCAGCUGGUUAAUACCCGGUUGGGAUGACGGUACCCAAAGAAUAAGCACCGGCUAACUUCGUGCCAGCCGCCGCCGUAA